rnacentral:rRNA from 1 species
ACCAGACUCCUACGGGAGGCAGCAGUGGGGAAUAUUGCACAAUGGGGGAAACCCUGAUGCAGCGACGCCGCGUGAGUGAAGAGGUAUUUCGGUAUGUAAAGCUCUAUCAGCAGGGAAGAAAAUGACGGUACCUGACUAAGAAGCCCCGGCUAACUACGUGCCAGCAGCCGCGGUAAUACGUAGGGGGCAAGCGUUAUCCGGAUUUACUGGGUGUAAAGGGAGCGUAGACGGCAUGGCAAGUCAGAUGUGAAAGCCCGGGGCUCAACCCCGGGACUGCAUUUGAAACUGUCAGGCUGGAGUGCAGGAGAGGUAAGUGGAAUUCCUAGUGUAGCGGUGAAAUGCGUAGAUAUACGGAGGAACACCAGUGGCGAAGGCGGAUUGCUGGACAGUAACUGACGCUGAGGCGCGAAAGCGUGGGGAGCAAACAGGAUUAGAUACCCGUGUAC